rnacentral:misc_RNA from 1 species
CCGAAUUGUAAACAAGAGCUGCUGCUGGUCCUCAUGCGGGGACAUGUGCACGCUCUGUUCACACAUCCAUUCACACCUGUGCACUCUCUGCAGUUCUGUGGUCCAGGGGGGCUUUGCUCUCCUGUGCUGUGGAUCCGCUUUUUUAUACACACGCGCCGUAACAAAGUCUUGUGGAAUGAGUUCCGCGUUUAACGCAAUACAAUA